AGUGAACGCUGGCGGUAGGCCUAACACAUGCAAGUCGAACGGCAGCACAGAGGAGCUUGCUCCUUGGGUGGCGAGUGGCGGACGGGUGAGGAAUACAUCGGAAUCUACUCUGUCGUGGGGGAUAACGUAGGGAAACUUACGCUAAUACCGCAUACGACCUACGGGUGAAAGCAGGGGAUCUUCGGACCUUGCGCGAUUGAAUGAGCCGAUGUCGGAUUAGCUAGUUGGCGGGGUAAAGGCCCAACAAGGCGAUGAUCCGUAGCUGGUCUGAGAGGAUGAUCCGCCACACUGGAACUGAGACACGGUCCAGACUCCUACGGGAGGCAGCAGUGGGGAAUAUUGGGCAAUGGGCGCAAGCCUGAUCCAGCCAUACCGCGUGGUGAAGAAGGCCUUCGGGUUGUAAAGCCCUUUUGUUGGGAAAGAAAUCCAUCUGGUUAAUACCCGGGUGGGAUGACGGUACCCAAAGAAUAAGCACCGGCUAACUUCGUGCCAGCCGCCGCCGUAA
rnacentral:rRNA from 1 species